GACGAACGCUGGCGGCGUGCCUAAUACAUGCAAGUCGAACGCAGUGGGGACGGGUGAGUAUCACGUGGGUAACCUCCCAUCAGAGGGGAUAACACUUGGAAACAGGUGCUAAACCGAUACUGAUUGAUGGAGCCGCGGUGCAUUAGCUAGUGGGGGAGGUAACGGCUCACCAAGGCCACGAUGCAUAGCCGGACUGAGAGGGGGAUCGGCCACACUGGGACUGAGAAACGGCCCAGACUCCUACGGGAGGCAGCAGUAGGGAAUCUUCGGCAAUGGACGAAAGCCUGACCGAGCAAUGCCGCGUGAGUGAAGAAGGUUUUCGGAUCGUAAAGCUCUGUUGUCAGAGAAGCGGUAUCUAACGAGAAAGCAACGGCUAACUACGUGCCAGCAGCCGCGGUAAUUC
rnacentral:rRNA from 1 species